GUACGGAGCGUGAGGGAAUAGUUCUCCAAUUAGGCGUUGAAUGAGAGUGGCUCUCUCCCUUAUAUAAAUACGUGCUGCCAACCCCAUCUUCUUUCCUUCCUUAUCAUGUGAGAGCUUUGAGGUAUCUAUAUCACGGUCUCUAGAGACGUAUUGACCAGUGGUGGUAGCUUUACCCAGCUCUUCUUUGGACGUUACAAACCGAGUAUGGGAGAAUCUGUAAAGCUCAGGAGGGAUAGCGCCUAAGCUAUUUCUUUCUUUCUUUUUUGCAGAAAUAUCAUCUGCGGCGCUAUCUAUCCUGAGUUUCAUGGGUUCUUCCUGCUAUAUGUAAAUAUCUGGUGUAGUACCUUCAAGAAUGAUCAAAGUUGGUAUGUAUGUCUGUAUGUAUGAUGUGACUAUGUGAGUGAUCUUUGGAGGUAUCUCAUCUGCAAAGUCCAAAGCAGAUAAUUACUUUUUUUGUUCAGAUUUAUCCUCGUUUCUCUAAGAAAUUGUUGUGAGAGAUGAUGGAUUUUUGCUUUAUUCAAAAGGCUGCCUCUUGUUUUCUUUUUAACAGCAUCUGGAGGGUUUGUACCAUACUGCUAUGUCUUGUUUCUAGUUACAUCAUCAAGUCUUUAUAAAAAGGACAAAAAUCAUCUCAAACCAAACCCAACCCAUAAGAGUUUUUGGGACAUGAAUAUCCGAAUAUGCAUUAUAUCAAGAUGUAUAUGUUUUAGAAAAAUAAUUACUAUUGGUAUAUAUCUAGAUAUUUACAAAGCAGCAAUCAUGCAUGCAUGUCUGUUAAAUAAAUAAUCAUGGGCAGAUAAUUAGUAAAAGUGUGUCGUUGUCCAGUCUUCAUCUUCGUCCUCGUCCUUACCCUAUCCACUUAUUGCUUUGAUUAUUUAUAUUUGCCAUUAACCAAGUUUUUUCAUGGACAACAGACAGGAGCAGUGAUUGAGCUGGGGUUUUCUUACCAAUAUUCAAACCAAAACUGUGUUUUGUGACAGAUGUUGGUGGCUAGGGUUUUACAUUUGAGUUAAAUGGCUUACAGGCUUUUAGUUUCAGUGGACGUUGACUCCUUUCACACUUCGUCCACACCACGGACUCGUCGCUUUCUUUACUGUUUCAAAACAUCAAAUCUCUCUCUAACUAAAGCAAAUGUGAUGCAAUUAAUAAUUAUAAAUUGCAGUUGUCAUGCAAAUGCAUAUAAUAUAAAUAAUCAGUAAUUUUCUUUUAUAUUAUUUUAUAUGGUGUGUAUUAUAUAUGAUGGUGAGGUUCCAUUUUUUUAUGAAUUUAAUUAAUUAAUGUACAUAUCCGGUUUCUUUUGAGAUUUAAUAGUUAGCCAAGUGGAGGGUUGGGCUGAAUUCUAUUUUGAGUUGAGUGCCAUUGUUAGGCAAUUUGAUCCCAGUUAGGGAUACUGGGUGCAACUGUAUUGAAUCAACCAACGGGAUCAUCUUUAUACUCUUUCUCCAGUAAAAGCAUUGCCAAGACAUUUUAUUUUAAAAA